GUCGUCAGCUCGUGCCGUGAGGUGUCGGGUUAAGUCCCAUAACGAGCGCAACCCUUACCGUUUAGUUACCAUCAGGUUAAGCUGGGGACUCUAGCGGGACUGCACCGUAAGGUGAGAGGAAGGUGGGGAUGACGUCAAAUCAGCACGGCCCUUAUGUCCAGGGCUACACACGUGUUACAAUGGCCAGUACAAAGGGCAGCUACCGGGUGACCGGAUGCUAAUCUCUAAAGCUGGUCUCAGUUCGGAUCGAAGUCUGCAACCCGACUUCGUGAAGCUGGAUUCGCUAGUAAUCGCGCAUCAGCCAUGGCCGCGGUUCCGAAUACGUUCCGGCCUU
rnacentral:rRNA from 1 species